UACGUAGGCAGCAAGCGUUGUUCGGAGUUACUGGGCGUAAAGGGUGCGUAGGUGGCUCUAUAAGUAUGGUGUGAAAUCUCCCGGCUUAACUGGGAGGGUGCGCCGUAGACUGUGGGGCUAGAGUGUGGGAGAGGAAAGUGGAAGUUCCUGGUGUAGCGGUGAAAUGCGCAGAUAUCGAGGAGGAACACCGGUGGCGAAGGCGGGUCUCUGGGCCGAAAUUGACGC
rnacentral:rRNA from 1 species